rnacentral:lncRNA from 1 species
GAGACUUGCGAUCUACCCGCAGUUGUCGAACAGCUUUCGGGCAGCUUUCGAGGAAAAAGAUAACCAAAGCCAAGGCCAUCGAUGAGGUCUCAUGGCCAGCAAAGAGCAAGCUCAGCAAGAGAUCGAGGAUCUGUUCUUUGGACAGGUUUGACUCCUUUAAAGACCAUCCAAGGAGAUCCUCUGCUCCUCCUUGUCUCUCGCUCUUCUCCUGGAUCCUCUGCUCCAUCUUUUGCUCGAUGACCCUCAGGAUGUUUGACCGUGACUGCGAUGGAUGCAAUGUUACAGCAUGGUAAAGAACUAUUUCAUAGAUUGUACAUUUUGUGGGCCAAGAACUAUAACAUUAUCUCCAGAAUUGGCAGUAUCUCAUGGCUUAGUAUUUUUCUUUUCUUUCCUUUUCCAUUUUGAAUGCUAAUUAUGAUUGAAACCGAGCUGUGACCGUGAAGAGUAGCG